CCUAUGGGAGGCAGCAGUGGGGAAUAUUGGACAAUGGGGGAAACCCUGAUCCAGCAAUGCCGCGUGAGUGAUGAAGGCCUUAGGGUCGUAAAGCUCUUUUACCAGGGAUGAUAAUGACAGUACCUGGAGAAUAAGCUCCGGCUAACUCCGUGCCAGCAGCCGCGGUAAUACGGAGGGAGCUAGCGUUGUUCGGAAUUACUGGGCGUAAAGCGUGCGUAGGCGGUUAUUCAAGUCAGAGGUGAAAGCCCGGGGCUCAACCCCGGAACGGCCUUUGAAACUAGAUAACUAGAAUCUUGGAGAGGUCAGUGGAAUUCCGAGUGUAGAGGUGAAAUUCGUAGAUAUUCGGAAGAACACCAGUGGCGAAGGCGACUGACUGGACAAGUAUUGACGCUGAGGUACGAAAGCGUGGGGAGCAAACAGGAUUAGAUACCCUGGUAGUCCACGCCGUAAACGAUGAUAACUAGCUGUCCGGACACUUGGUGUUUGGGUGGCGCAGCUAACGCAUUAAGUUAUCCGCCUGGGGAGUACGGUCGCAAGNUUAAAACUCAAAGAUAUAGCGNGNGAGNGCGACGACGACGACGACGGAGGAGAG
rnacentral:rRNA from 1 species